rnacentral:rRNA from 1 species
GACAGAGGCCCCAAGCGUUAGGCGGAAUCACUGGGCUUAAAGCGUGUGUAGGCGGACUUCUAAGUGCCUUGUGAAAUCCCACGGCUCAACCGUGGAACUGCUGGGCAUACUGGGAGUCUUGGGCCAUUCAGGGGCAACUGGAACAAGCGGUGGAGCGGUGAAAUGCGUAGAUAUUCGCAGGAACACCAGUGGCGAAGGCGGCUCACUGGCCCGGUACUGACGCUGAGGUGCGAAAGCGUGGGGAGCAAACAGG